GAGGAGCAGAAGUAAUCCAGUCUGAUGGAGGUUUCGUUUUCAGGAUUAUGAGAUUGUACUCCCUCUGGAAAGGCCACAAUGAUUACCAGGAAAUGAUACACAAGUGUCUUAAAAAAUUGAAGGAAGCUUCUGCAUCUUAGUUUAUUGUUUACUGUUAGAUUUGCCCUUUCUUUAUAGCAGAUAUAAGCAUUAUUUAACCAUUUCCUGUAAAGGGGUACAUUCAGAAAGAAGGGGAGAAUGUGUGUGCAUGGUGAAGGUGCAAUAGGUCCAAUGGAUAAGCAAGAGAAGCCUGUUGGAUGGCAUAUCUUCUGAAAGCAAUGAGCUCAAUUAUAUACAAGGAGUAAGAAAAAAGGAAGAAGAGCCACUGGAAUAGAACAGAGAAACAGAUAUGUGUGAGUGUGUAUAGGUAAUAUCUUAAAGACACCAGAUCCCAUCUGAUGUUGGAAAAUAAGUCAAGUCGAUGCUGGAGUAUUUCCAGUAUGCUACUGGGGAGGAACAAAGGACUAGUCCAACUAGUCCCAGAUGUGAUGCUGGACCAUAAGGAAGGCUGAGCGAAGGAAGAUAGAUGCUUUUGAACUUUGGUGCUGGGGGAAAAUCCUGAGAGUGCCUUGGACCGCAAGAAGAUCCAACCAGUCCAUCCUCCAGGAAAUAAUGCUUGGUUGCUCACUGGAGGGAAGGAUAUUAGAGGCAAAGAUGAAGUAUUUUGGCCACAUCAUGAGAAGACAGGAAAGCUUGGAAAAGAUCAUGAUGCUGGGGAAAAUGGAAGGAAAAAGGAAGAGAGGCCAACCAAGGGCAAGAUGGAUGGAUGGUAUCCUUGAAGUGACUGGAUUGACCUUGAAGGAGCUGGGGGCAGCAACGGCUGACAGGGAACUCUGGCGUGGACUGGUCCAUGAGGUCACGAAGAGUCAGAAACGACUGAGUGAAUUAAGAAGAUAAUUUCCGCACUACUUUAGGAGAUGGAUGUUUUCUGCCUGCGACAGCUCAGGUUCCCACAGGCAGCAGUAGGUGAUGCAGUAUGUCCUGAUGUGGAAUAUGCUGACAUAAACACACAAUAAUACAAGAGAUGCCACAGAGUUGAGAACAAGGACAGAAUGGCCAUGUGUCCUAUUUUAGAGAUGACAUUCUUUUAUUUGGAGACCUCUGUUAAAGACAGAGAACUAGAUGAAUGGAUUGCAAAGGCCUUGAAGUUGCCCAUUCACAGAGACCCAUGGGAAAGGAGGCUGAGCCAGCAUGCAGGUCAGCUAGUUAGCAUCUUCUCUAUGGUGGUGAGUUGUAUUGUAUUUCUGUAAAAGUGAUGGUUUCAUCAAUAAAUAUACAUUUUGUAUAUAAACAUUUGAUGGAAAUCUGUCUUAAAAAAUAAGAAAUUAUGCACUUCCCCUGUCCCUUUUUUGGCUGGCUAUAUGCAGGCUCCCUAUCAAACCCCGUUCCUUCCUUUCAUUUAGUCUUAAAAAGUCAAAAUAAGGCUAUGGUUCUCAUGUUUUCACAUCAAAAUUUGGUCUGAGAAAAUUAUAAAGUGGCCUAUUGUUCUAGAAAUCUUUGUGUAUAUAGUCUUAUGUAGAUAGUGGUGAUACAGCUUUUCCCUUUGUCAACCCGUAGGCGAUACUUUAGGCCAAUGUUUUUGUAUUUAGCAUUUCUUAUAUGAAUUGGUCGUCCUUUCUACACAGCUGUUCUAGUUACAAUCUUGACAGCCAUGUAAAAUUUUGUUUAAAGGAAAUGGCAGCAAACCUAAACCAUUCAAGUUGCAAAUCUGAACCUUUUUUGGUGUAAAGUAUCACAGGAAUGUUUUAUGGCUUUCUUAUCGCUCAUAGAGUGAAAUAGAUAGCACACGAUUGCAGUAAGCCCCAUGGUUAUAAGUUACAUCUAGUGCUUUUUACAGUGUUUUAAAUGCAUUGAUAUGAAGGAAACGUAUUUACUGUUGAUAUGAAAUCCAUGGUAAUGUACUUUGUCUGAAAGUUAAGAUUAUAUAAUAAUAGCUUUACUCACAAUAUGUCUUUUCUUUUUCCUUUUGCAGCUGUUAUAAAAUAAUACAGCACUUUCUCUCUUGGAUAGAAAAAGGAAGAAAACAUUUAUGAUCCUUUUCUGACUGUGUACAUGACCUCAGAGAUAAGUGGAAAGGGGAUAUUUCAAGCCUCUAGUUUAUUAUACGUUGAUGGCAUGUUAGUCUUAUCGCUCAAGACAGCAUUUAACUUUGAAUAAUACAUUAUGCUGUCUCUCUGAAAUGGUCAUUAUGAGGUUUUAAUGCACCAUAAAACAGGGCUUAUGAGCCUCAGCUCACUAAGAUGUCACUCUAACAUAUUAAAACAACAUAUUUCUUGGAAAGCAAUAGUUUGGCAGCAGUACUCUUUGGAUUUUAAAUUUUAUUUUGGUAUAUCUAAAUAACAUUUUUAAUUGCUCACUGAUUUUCAAUUAUGUCCAGUUUCUUGGCAUAAACAUUGCACGGGUGCUUCCAGUUGUUCAAAUGUUUAGCAUACAUUGUCCAGCAAUGUCCAUAGUGAUCUCAAGAAUGAUUAGGUGCCUGCAAAUUGAAAUAUCCCAGUGUUAAACUGGCAUCCUAGAUUUUGGGAGGUGAUGGGUCAUUCAGCAAAUUCAGGAACAGGAAGAAAAUCAUAGGGCUUUGCUUGGGAUAAUGCUGCUGCCUUAAUGUUCCCUUUUACUUUAUGAAGAAAGUUAUAAAUUCACUUUUUAAAAAGUUGUUAGGAUCCUCCUAGAUAUUUGCUGCUGUUUAUAUUGUUUUCCUGUUUUAGAGUAUAUUGCGACUCUUUUGGCCGGGAUAUGAUAUAUGAUAAAAUAGCAUUCUAACAUCAACAAUAUUUUAAAUAAUUCUUGUUUAAUCAUUUUCUUUCUUUGAAGAUUAUUUUAUAUAAAUAAGCAAAGAGAUGAAUAAAUAAGCAAGUAAAUUCUUGAAUGUGGUAGGAACACCAUUUGGACUGUGCUUCGGGCAGCAUAUGUCUCAUGCUGGCACAUUGUUUUUUAAAUAAAAAUGAAUUAAUUUAAUUAAAACUCAGUAAUUUGCUAUUUAAAUAAACUUCUCCUCAAAAUAAAGACCAUUCUUAAGGACAGUAGUGUGACUAAAGGGGCUGGUUUGCUAAGAUAAGUUUCAUGGACUCAUAUCAUUUUCAAAGGCAAACUUCAAAUGAUGUUAUAGGAAGAAUAAAUUUAACUAUUUUUUAAAGUGGUUUCACAUCAAGAUCAUUACAGACAUCAUUCAUCUGGUAAAGUUAUAGUGCUGUCUCAGGAUGAUGUCAUACUAAAUUUCCCACAUUUAACAUUCAAGGUUUCUUCUCCCCACUCUGUAGGAUUAAGUCUUCUAGAUGUUUUGAAACAAGUUUGUAUCAUUGCGUUUCAAAUUUUUCAAGCCCAUUUCACUAAGCACUAUGCAUUAAUUCUACAAUGUAGAUGCACCCCUAGAUAUUUCUAGAGAGAACACUUCUCUGUGAAUCUUUAGGGACUCUAUCCCACGGUAGUGCUGGUGGUGGGGAAGCAUAUUAUGGUGGCAAAGAACAUCCUUCAAUUUCUCAUUCCUUUUCACACAUUGUCUUUUCUUGCCAGUUUUAUCGAAAUGUACCAGUUUUCAGAUUUAUCCCACCAGCCAGUUUAGUCCCCACCCACUCUUUAACAGCAAAAAAAAAAACAUUGGGUAACAUCUUAUGAGAUACUGGAGAUUCCCCUCCAAUCCUGCUGCUCUAUAGUAGACUGAAGCAGAUGAUCUUGAAUAAGACACGACUUGAGGGAAAACGUGACUUUCCCCUUGGAUCCAGCAAUUCUACAGUACACUCAAGCAGCUGAUCUUACACUAGACAUUACUAGGAGGGAAACCUGGUUUAAAAAAAAAUCACCACACCGGGCUCAUGACACAGGAUUUUGGGAGAGAGAUGGCAAUGCUUGGCAGCAGACUCCCCAUAGGAACGCACCUUACUCAAUGUCACUGAAGCGAUUCAACCCGGGGAAAUUUGACAGUUCCUAUCCCACAUGUUUUUGGGUUUUUUCUCCAGUUAUAUCCCGGUUUCUGAGUUCAGAAGACGAUCUUUGACUGAUCCAUAUCCACCCCCUGGUAAAUGUGUAAUAUAGACCAAAGGCAUCAUUUGAGUUCCAGGCUUCCCAAGAUUUUGUAGUAUUAUCAGCUCAAACUAUGGACCAAAACACUCGUAAGGUGUGCAUUUUGGCAUAAAACACACCCAGAAAGGCAUAUGAUGUAAGGAAACCAAUUCCAAAAUAUAACUCUUCGUGUAACUUUUAAACUUAAGAAUCACUGCUUUCUGCUGAAGAGGGAUAGUAUGUAAUGAUGAAUGAACAUGUUCAAACCCGACAAGGCCCAGACGCGGAUGGCUUUGUUCAUCUGUGCCCUGAAUGUGAUCAAAUGAAGCCUAUGAACAAUUACGCUUUCAUUUCUUCCCCUCCCCAUUCCCUCUCCUAUACAAUAAAGGUCAAGACAGACAAUGUUUUUCAUCUCCUGGUAUUUGUAGAUAAGGACAUGCUUAGCAAUCUAUCUCCCUCAAACAUCAAGUAAUAUAUUGAAGGUGUCACCUGCAUUUAUGUCCUGAAGCCUAAAGGGACAACUACUUGACAAAAACAUUAGGUGCAAUCCUUUCGGUAUUUUAUUUUAUAAUUACUUGUCUUGUGAGAAAACUGUAGUUGGCUCAGUCCAUGAUAGGCCCAUUUGCACUAUCAUAAUGCUUUCUGUGUUUUUGCAGGUGCAGUGUUCAUGGGGUUAUAGCAGUUUCCUGAACUGCUCGCAACUGCUAAUUUUAAAGUGUGGUUGUAUUGACAUUAUAAUCUGACUUUGUGCUGAAAGAGUUUUAAAGAGAUAACCCAAUGUGUAGGGUGUCAUAUAUGUCAAUGAGCCAAGAGACACACCUAGGAUGCAUCUACGCUGUAGAAUUAAUGGAGUUUAAUACUGUUUUAACUGUCAUAGCUCAAUGCUAUGGAACUUUGGGAGUUGUAGUUUGGCGAGACACCAGCACACUUUGGGAGUGAAGACUAAAGACAUCAAAAAACUGCAACUCCCAAUGGCCUCAUAAAACUAUAACUACACAGCCACCCAAUGGGGCUUGAACUGGUGCAAAAAUGUUUGUUCCAAACCCCAUUGUGGCUACACAUGGCUGCUAAAAGCCGCUUCAUUGAUGGGGGACUAGCCAUACAGCCUAGCUGUGCCAACACCAGUUUGGUAUGGCUGGGCAUGAGCGGUGCCUCCCAAGCCUCCCUACAUGGUGAUCCCAGAUGGUAGUCUCCACUGCCAGAGCACCCAUAAAGAUAUGGAUCUUAUAAGAAGAUCCAUAUCUUUGUAGCUGUUGUUUUAACCUGCAUGUGAGCUGGAGUAAAAGGCUUACCCCAUUGAAAUCGCAUUGGCCUGGAUGCAUCAUCUGGAUGCCCCAGGCUAAUGUGACAGCUACACUACACUACAGAUGGGGCCUCAGAGGGAGCUCUUUUCUGUCACUUUCAAAUGAGGAAAGGUUAGUGCUCAGGUCAAGAAAGCUGGUUGUGGCACUGAUAUAAAGACAGCCAUUAUGUGAAUAGAUUAUAGAUUCCUUUUCCACACUUCCAGUCUCUUUGAUAUACAAUGCAACCCACAUAUCCAUAGGACUGAUAUCUGAAGAUAUAUCGGACCUAUGGAUCCAUGUCCGACAGAAUAUGGAAUCUCUAGACAUUUUCUAGGUCCUUCAGCAUGACUUUAAGUUAUUCUUGGGUUGGGAAGCCUUCAUUUCAAUAGGGUUUGCUGUUAUUGGAAGGUUUGCAUAUCGACAUGAAGUUCGGGAAUAUAUCUGCUGCAGAUAUGGUGAUUAUAUUAAGUGCAGACUCUUGAAUGGCAAUUUACUUUUUAAGAUAUUUAUGUAUCUAUUUCUCAGGCCACAAGGUCUCACAGGGCAAUGAACAAAUAAAACAACCGAAAGAGUUAAAAACA